rnacentral:rRNA from 1 species
AUGCGGUCGACGAGACCGGCGACCCGCAGCUCAGCGCUCCGUACGCGUCCGACAUCUACUCCUACCUCCGAUCCAUGGAGGUAUGCACCGUUCUUCCUCGGUCACAUCGGUUUAAUCAAUUUCCUCGUUCGUCGCAAGGUUCAGGCGAGACGGCGGCCGGCGGCAGAUUACAUCGAGAGGGUGCAGGUGGACGUCACCCCCAAUAUGUGCGGCAUCCUCGUCGACUGGCUCGUUGAGGUCGCCGAGGAGUACAAGCUCAUCUCCGACACGCUCUACCUCACUGUCUCCUACAUCGACCGCUUCCUCUCAUCCAACUACCUCAACCGUCAGAAGCUGCAGCUCCUCGGCGUCUCUGCCAUGCUCAUUGCCUCUAAGUACGAGGAGAUCAGCCCCCCAAAUGUGGAGGACUUCUACUACAUCACCGACAACACCUACAUGAAGCAGGAGGUGUGUGUUCUUCUCUUGCUUGCUUGGUUCAUUUCUAUUAAGAUGGAGAGGGAUGUACUAAACAAUCUCAAGUUUGAGAUGGGAAAUCCUACCGCUAAGACCUUCCUAAGGAUGUUCAUCAAAUCUGGCCAAGAAGAGAAGGUAAUGGUCCACUACUCUCAUACUACCUUUGAGCCACACUGCUGUUAA